GAUCCUAGGAGCUAAAGUGAAGCUUGGGCUAGGAAUUUGUGCUAAUUAAGGCAAGGGGGUUAUUCUUCAUCAUAAUCAAUUAGUUUUUAAGUUUUUCUUAAUUAUGUGAUUAAGUGCUUAAUUUGAAUAAUUGAUGAUUAUGAAUUUGUGAGAUGAAUUUCUUGCUCUAGUUUUAGGGAUGAGUUUGUGGAUG
rnacentral:pre_miRNA from 1 species